AUGGCUUUACCAAGGCUACGAUGGGUAGGGGUUCUUAGUGGAAGAUCCCCCACGACUGGCACUGAGAUACCGGGCCAGACUCCUACGGGAGGCAGCCAGUAGGGAAUAUUGGUCAAUGGGCGCAAGCCUGAACCCAGCCAUGCCGCGUGCAGGAUGAAAGCUCUCUGAAGUUGUAAACUGCUUUUGUAACAGGAGCAAAACAAUCCCUGCGGGGAUUCUUGAGAGUACUGUAAGAAUAAGCACCGGCUAAUUCCGUGCCAGCAGCCGCGGUAAUACGGAAGGUGCAAGCGUUAUCCGGUUUUAUUGGGUUUAAAGGGUGCGUAGGCGGCUUAUUAAGUCAGUUGUGAAAUCCUAGUGCUUAACGCUAGAACUGCAAUUGAUACUAUUAGGCUUGAGUUAAGAAUAGGUAAGUAGAAUUUAUGGUGUAGUAGUGAAAUGCUUAGAUAUCAUAAGGAAUACCAAUAGCGUAGGCAGCUUACUGGUCUUUAACUGACGCUGAGGCACGAAAGCGUGGGGAGCAAACAGGAUUAGAUACCCUGGUAGUCCACGCCGUAAACGAUGAUCACUCGAUAUACAUAAACUUUAUGUGUGUCUAAGCGAAAGCGUUAAGUGAUCCACCUGGGGAGUAUACUCGCAAGGGUGAAACUCAAAGGAAUUGACGGGGGUCCGCACAAGCGGUGGAGUAUGUGGUUUAAUUCGAUAAUACGCGAGGAACCUUACCUGGGCUAGAAUGUAUUUUGCUACUUUGAGAAAUUAAAGGUUCCUUCGGGACAAAAUACAAGGUGCUGCAUGGCUGUCGUCAGCUCGUGCCGUGAGGUGUUGGGUUAAGUCCUAUAACGAGCGAAACCCUUUUACUUAAUUGCCAGCACGUAAUGGUGGGAGACUUUAAGUAGACUGCCUCGUGUAAGCGGGAGGAAGGAGAGGAUGAGGUCAAGUCAUCAUGGCCUUUAUGCCCAGGGCUACACACGUACUACAAUGGCAUGUACAAAAGGAAGCUACUUGGUAACAAGAUGCAAAUCUCAAAAGCAUGUCUCAGUUCGGAUUGAGGUCUGCAAUUCGACCUCAUGAAGUUGGAAUCGCUAGUAAUCGCGUAUCAGCAAUGACGCGGUGAAUACGUUCUCGGACCUUGUACACACCGCCCAUCAAGCCAUGGGAGUUGGUAGAGCUUAAAGACAGUGGCCGUAACAGGAGC
rnacentral:rRNA from 1 species